rnacentral:rRNA from 1 species
GUCCACGCCAUAAACGAUGAGUGCUAGUUGUUGGGGGAAGACCCUCAGUGACGCCGCUAACGCAUUAAGCACUCCGCCUGGGGAGUACGGCCGCAAGGUUAAAACUCAAAGGAAUUGACGGGGGCCCGCACAAGCGGUGGAGCAUGUGGUUCAAUUCGAAGCAACGCGAAGAACCUUACCAGCCCUUGACAUGGGGAGUAUGGAUCUGAGAGAUCGGAUCCUUCAGUUCGGCUGGCUCCCACACAGGUGCUGCAUGGCUGUCGU